rnacentral:ncRNA from 1 species
GAGAGCACAGUACGAUGAAAGUUGUAAGCUGUGUUGGGGGGUAGUUAUUGUCUAUCGUUGGCCUCUAUGAUAAAAUCAAUUGAGGCUUGAGAGGCGGUGGUUUACCCUGU